GACCAACCGACAUCAACCCCUCGAUGAGAAACCUCUAUCACCCAGGUUCCGGUUCCGCAGAAGGUUCUAGAAUUGCGUUCUGAAUGAUGACGUCAUCAAAGUUAGGGCGAAUUCUCGGUGACAUGACCGAAAUGAACGGUGAUUCUGGCCGGAAAACACUAGAUCUACAAAGCGGACAGUUAGCGUGACAUCUGAGCCAAAUAUCGAUACAAUCGACAUGAAAGGAAUGAAAACACACCGGUAAAGUACGAACGUAAUCGUCAUCUUCAAACUCCAGUAAACAAACUGCACAUUCAUGAACACUGCUUUUUCUAGUGUGAACGGAAAGCGGAAUCGUUUUAAUCAUUGCAUCAUCUAAACCGUACUGUGCGAACUGUUGAUAACCGUAACCAUAAGCUGGAUCAUACGAUUCUUCACCGGAGUACGGAGAUUCGAUGUCGCCGUUUCCGACAGAAGACGGCACGUAUGACCGAAGGAG
rnacentral:lncRNA from 1 species